rnacentral:rRNA from 1 species
AUUACGAGUUUUGAACGGGUUGUUGCUGGCCUUCCGAGGCAUGUGCACGCCCUGCUCAUCCACUCUACACCUGUGCACUUACUGUAGGUUGGCGUGGGUUUCUAGCCUCCGGGUUGGAAGCAUUCUGCCGGCCUAUGUACACUACAAACUCUUAAAGUAUCAGAAUGUAAACGCGUCUAACGCAUCUUCAUACAACUUUCAGCAACGGAUCUCUUGGCUCUCGCAUCGAUGAAGAACGCAGCGAAAUGCGAUAAGUAAUGUGAAUUGCAGAAUUCAGUGAAUCAUCGAAUCUUUGAACGCACCUUGCGCUCCUUGGUAUUCCGAGGAGCAUGCCUGUUUGAGUGUCAUGAAAUUCUCAACCCAUAAAUCCUUGUGAUCUAUGGGCUUGGAUUUGGAGGCUUGCUGGCCCUAGCGGUCGGCUCCUCUUGAAUGCAUUAGCUUGAUUCCGUGCGGAUCGGCUCUCAGUGUGAUAAUUGUCUACGCUGUGACCGUGAAGCGUUUUGGCAAGCUUCUAACCGUCCAUUAGGACAAUCUUAUAACAUCUGACCUCAAAUCAGGUAGGACUACCCGCUGAACUUAAGCAUAUCAAUAAGCGGAGGGAAAGAAACCAACCAGGAU